UAAACUUAUUGAAAGUUAGCAAACACAGCAUUGGUCACUCGAACAAUUCAUGCAAGAAUAUUAAAGAAAGAGAGAUUUCACAUAUAAAUAUACUAUCUUAGACAUCUUUUGUAAUUGUGAGCACUCAUUAAAAUAUGACAUGCUAAAAGGUUGAUGUUGGACAAGGAAAACAACUUAAUGGGUUAUGUUUUCCUAUAUCCUAAACGUUAUAUUGUCUUUGAUCAUCCAACAUGUUGAGCUUGCUUUUCCCUCUCAGGCUAGCCAAAUUCUUUGCAUCAAGUAAAGAUACUACUUGUGCUUCCAAACAUCCCUUAAACCAGUUUUUCCAUGAGAGUCCACCAUACCUACCUAUGGAUUGAGUAAGAUCCUUCAAGUAAGUUGUCAUCAUGCAUGCAAUAAAAAUUGCUUCUUAAAUAUGUAUGAUCUAUUAGUGCGAAGAAAAUAAGCUUUAUACAAACUUGUGAUAGGGAAGAAAUAAAAGCGAAAGACUGCAUAAUAAAGGUCUUUAUCACAAGCGGCAAUAUAAAGUGACGUUCUUUUGCAUUAAGAUUUUGUGCAUCCAACCAUAAAAGCGCAUGACAACCUAUGAUUCCCUCUGCGAAGGACCUAUCUUUUACUUUUAUCUUCUACCCUUAUACAAGAGUCAUGGUGAUCAUCUCCUUUCCUUUUUACACUUUUUCCUUUGGCAAGCACUUUGUGUUGGAGCGAUCCGGAUAUAAAUAUCCACUUGGAUGUAGGUUUUCAUAAAUUAUUAUUGUUGACAUUACCCUUGAGGUAAAAGGUUGGGAGGCGAAACUAUAAGCCCCUAUCUUUCUCUAUGUCCGAUUGAAACUUUGAAACCAUAAAUAUCACAUGAGUGUUAGCAAUUGUGAAAGAUCAAAUGAUAGUUGAGUAUGUAGAGUUUGCUGAACCAAAGCUCUUACAUAGACCCAUCCCAAAAAUAAGAUGAAUUGCAGUUGUUUGAUGACUAAGAACACGGUUUGUUAGUUUUCAAGAAAGUUUAUGAUCUAUACUUUAACUUGUGAAUAGCUUGUUACUUGAUCAUGAAAAGUUUUAUGAGUUGAGCUACUGUUAUGAUAUAUAAUGAUGCUAGAAAAAGUGAUUGAAACUAUCAUUGAUCAAACUUAAGCGCUUACUAGCAAUCACACUUCAUAAAUUAUUUCUUUUAUCAUUUACCUACUCGAUGACGAUGUUUGGGGAUACUGAUAUGUCUCCAAUGUAUCUAUAUUUAUGAAGUAUUCAUGCAAUGUUUACAAUAGGUUUAUAUGAUUUUGGUAUAAUUUGAUUAGAACUAACCCACACUGACGAUGUUUUUAGCAGAACUACCAUAGUGUUGUUUUUGUGCAGAAAUAAAAGUUCUCGGAAUGUGCUGAAAAUCAACUAAGAUUUUUUUGAAAAUAUGAAGAAUAUUGGAACAAAAAUCUACCGUAGGGGAGUCUCGUGGGCUCCACGAGGGUGGGGGGCGCGCCCCUGUGCCUUGUGGACCCCCUGUGGGGCCCCUUGACUUGUCCUCGACGCCAACCUCUUCUAUAAAUAUCCAAACCUCCAGAAAACAACCUAGAUCGGAAGUUCCGCCGCCGCAAGCCUCUGUAGCCACGAGAAAUCAAUCUAGGCCCUCUCUAGUGUGAUGCCCCUGAUUCAAUCAUACACUAAUCAUACACGCAAAUGUGUACGAUCAAGAUCAGGGACUCAUGGGAAGAUAUCACAACACAACUCUCGACACAAAUUUUAAUACAAGCUUUAUAUUACAAGCCAGGCGCCUCGAGGGCUCGACUACAUCAGCUUGAAUACAUACGAGUCAGCGGAAGCAACAAUAUCUAAGUACAGACAUAAGUUAAACAAGUUUGCCUUAAGAAGGUUAGCACAAAAGCAGCAUGAUCGAAAAGGCAAGGCCUCCUGCCUGGGAGCCUCCUAACUACUCCUGGUCGUCGGCGGCCUCCACGUAGUAGUAGGCACCCUCGGGUUUGUAGUAGUCGUCAUCGAAGGUGGCAUCUGGCUCCUGGACUCUGUCAUCUGGUUGCGUCAUCCGACAAGAAUGAAAAAGGGGGAAAAGAGGGAGCAAAGCAACCGUGAGUACUCAUCCAAAGUACUCGCAAGCAAGGAUCUACACUACAUAUGCAUCGGUGUCAAUUGAAAUGGGUUGUAUCUGUGGACUGAACUUCAGAAUGCUAGAAGAGAAGGGGAAAAGCUAGUCCUAUUGAAGACUAGCAUCUUUUGGAAACCACCAUCUUGCAGCAACAUGAGGGAGUAGAGUAGUAUAACAUAAGUCAUAUUUAUUUUGUUGUAUCAACGCUCCGGGAUCCUUUCUCGACUCCCGAAGCAACAUAUCCAAAUCAUGCCUCAGCAUCCAGUUCUAGUUGUACCCAUCAGGAUACAACUUCGAGUGUCCAUUACCGUAGGACAGGCUAUCGAUAGAUGUUUUCUUCCCUGCAGGGGUGCACCAACUUACCCACCACACUCGAUUAACUCCGGUCGGACACACUUUCCUGGAGCAUGCCCGGCCUCGGCCAAACAAUACGCCGCAACUCGACCUAGGCUUAAUAGAGAGGUCAGCACGCCGGACUAACCCUAUGCCCCCAGGGGUCAUGGGCCAUCGCCUCGGGAACUCCUGCAGGUUGCGUACGCGGCCGGUGAGCAAACCUAGCUACCUCCUUAAAAAGGCAGCUGCUUACGCAGUCCAACCUGGCACACGCCGCUCAGUCGCUGACGUCUAUUAAGCUUCGGCUGAUGCAUACGACGCAGAACGCCCAUACUAUGCCCACGUGAUGGUUAAUGCUAUCAGGCCAGAGGCCCCUCGAAUAAAAUAUCCAAAUCGUAGUGGAUUAGGAACGCGCAGUAACAAGCAGAGACUCACGAAAGAUGUGACCCAGCCGUCCCGUCUCGAGGACUUGCGGCAAGGGCUAAGAAUGCCCGGUCACGCCUCGUAAUUAUCUCGCAGGCACCUUUCAGGUCAACCCGACUACACAUCACUCGCAAUUAAGCUCGCGCGGGUACCCCUCAGGGCCAACCCAUCUUUAGUAACAUGGUUCGGUGUAAAGUCAUAGUAAUCAUAGUAACCGUGUGUCUAACACCAAGGGAACCCUGAGGAACCACCCUCGGUGGAUUCCACUUGAUGUAAUCAUCAUUGUGAACAUAAGAGGAACCACCCUCGAGGUUCACACUUGAGGGGUUGCACGACAGAGUCGUAUCGGAAGUGGUUAAGGAGGAAAUAACCCUCGAUGACCACGACCGAAUAGCUACACUACGAGAUCUCAUCAGGAGUGAUGUAAGAGGUACCACCCUGGGCACUCGAUGGUAACUCUGCAGAGUCGAGCAACAAAAGGGGCGUGAUGUGAUGUGACGUGUCAGGCUCUGGUCGUCGAUCACGUUGAUCGAGUCAUCGAUGAUGAAGCAGGGGCAACAAAGACAAGGUGGGGGCCACUGAUAGAUCACUAACCAAACUAUACUAAGCAGUUUAGGAUAAGCAGGUAGGUAACAAUAAGCAGGUUACAAAAGCAGGCUAUGCAUCAAAAUAGGAGCAAUCAAUUAUAGUAGAAAAAUCUAAUGCAAGCAUGAGAGAAUGGAAUGGGCGAUAUCGGGAUGAUCAAAGGGGGGGGCUUGCCUGGAAGCUCCACUGAAAGGGAAGAAGGGUCGUCGUCGACGUAGUCGAUCAUAGCGGCAUCAACAGCGGUCUCGAGGUCUACCGGAGAGAAUAGGGGAAGACACAAUAAAUACAAAACAAACAAGUGCAAGACUAAGCAUGACAUGACGAAAAGCAGAACUAGGGUCGAUCUAACGUUGUACUACAUGAUAUAGGUGAAGGGGGAAUUCAACCGGGAAUGUUUUUCCGGUUCCGGACCGGUGUCAGACAGAUGACCGGAGGGGGAAAGUACCAUGUUCAGCUAGUUAGAGGCAUCUGACAGGUAAACGAACCGCGUACCCGAAUUCCUCAAGUCGUUCUAAGCAACUUUCAUGUAUAAAACAUUUUCAUCCGAGUUACAAUUUAAUUUCUAUGAUUUUUCAAAGUUUUAACAAUAUUCUAAAAUUUCUAGUUUUGUUCUAAUUCGAGUUGACCAAGUCAAUUUGACUGGUCAAGGGGGGUGGUGGCCCACAUGUCAUAAAGUUGUAUCUAAUCUAAUAAAUAAAACUAACUUAAUCAAAUGGAGCUCAUAUGUCAUAGUGUAGCAGCUAACCUAACUAGAAUGAUUAGUCCCUAAUCUAAUCUGUACAGGGCCGGCCAUAGGCAUAGCCAGCCUCACAGCUGUGCACAUACAUGCAUCGCACAGGGGCACUCGGCCAUGGCCAAAAGCAGUAGCAAAUGGCAACAACGGGCAGCAGCAGGUAGCAUCAGCAGCCAACGCAAAAGAGGAGCAGCAACACAAAGCAAAGCAGCGUUAAAAGUAGCAGGAGGAACGACAAGCAAGCAAUAGCUCAGCGGCAGCUGCAAGUAAUCAAUAGCGUCAUGUUGUAGAAACAGCAAGCAACCACAAUGGUGCGGCGCUAGGGGCAUUAGCAGCAGCAGAAGUGAGCAGCACCAGUUUUAGGCAGAGCAAGCAGUGGCAGGGCAAAGUGGCAGCAGGUAGCGCGAGCAGCAAAACAGCCAAGCAUGCGGGCGCGCAGCACAUUGGCACGGCGAGCGAAGGGCGAGGAAGGGCGCGGCCGGCGCGUAUGCGAUGAGGCCAGCGGCUGUGGGCCGCCGCAGCGUCGGGCACGGCCGGCAGUGGGCGGCGCCGACGGCUGCGGUGUUAGGUGCAGGGGCGCGACGAGGAUAAGCGCGGGGCGGCUGCGGGCUUGGCCUGGCGCAGGGGCGAACGAGGCCCGGGUGCGGCCUAGCUCGUUAGGGAGGCGAGGCGAGGCGCGGGCACGGGGUGGUCACGGCUCGGGGUUGGGGCAGGCGCUGGCCGUGACGGACAACGGCUAUGGCUACAAGCAGGAGACGCGCUCCGACGAUGGAUCGAGACCGGGGCGAGAGAGAAACAGGGGAGGAGCUCACAUUGGUGCGGCAGUGAGGGUCAGCGGGCUCGGGGUUGCACCGAAUCGGCCGAAUGGACGAUGGCGGCGUUCGAGGUGCAGAAGCGGAGAUGAGCUUCAUGGCGACAUGCGAGGGCCUCUCGGCUUGGUCCGGUAGUUCAAGUCGACGGAGAAGAGGACGGCGGUGCCUCUAGACAUCUUGUCUUCGGUCGGGGAUGACCAUGGCCACGAAGACCACGACGGCACAGAGACGGCUUCGCUCGCGUUCGUGCUGUGAGGGAGAAAGGAAACGGAGCGGUGAGGGGGGAAGGGACUAGGGUUUGGUCGAGGGGAGUUGAGGGCAUCAAGUAGGCGUCGGGGGGUGGCGGAUGGCCGGCACAUGGCUAUCCACGGCCAUGGGUGGCUGCCCAGCGUCCACCUCCCCCUCUGUGAAUAGGGAAAGAAGGAGAUGGUUAGGUGGGCUGGGUCAAAGUCAUGUGCGUUCCUGGGCCUAAGUGCACAAAGCCUUUUUCCUAUUUACUUUUCUGUAAUAAACCUGCUACUGUGCUCUAUUUAGAUUAGAUAACAAUUGAUUUUUAAUUUAUAUGAAACUUGUCAAACAAAUACAGGGAAACAUCAUGGGGCUGCUCAAAAAGUUUCAAAGCAUUUUGUGAUUGUUUAACUAUUUUUAGAAAUUGAAAAGGUCAAUUACUUGACGCUUGACAGUUGGUCCACUAUUAUAAAGUUCAGGGGCAUUUUAAGCAUCUCCAAUUUUUUUUGUUAAUGCAAGACAAUUACGUAGUGAAUAUUUUGAACCUAAUGAACAUUUUUAAUUUACCAUUUGAAGAAUUAAUAAUUUGAUUUGCAUUUUAAAAUUGAAUUUGACUUUGAUUUUAAUCAAGUGACAAUUGGCUUAGUAAAGUGGUGAUGACAUGGCAUCAUUAGGGUGAGGUUACUGUAGCUAAGGAUGGCAAUGGCUCGGGUUCGGCUCGGGUUGAACAAUAUCAAAUCCAUAUCCAAAUCCAUGAAGACAUUAUGUGCCCAUCCACAAAAAAGUCCAUGGGCAAAAAAUUAUGUCCAUGUCCAAAUCCGAUGAAUAUCCAUCGGGUAUGGAUAUCCAUCGGGUUCUCUCAACAUGUAUACACAUGACAUAGCACAACUAUACAAGAUUCACAUAAGCUCUCAAAUUUUCACAAAACGACAUCGCACAAGUGCACAACUGUACAAUUUUAGUCAAAAAAUUAAACUAUACAAAUUUGGGAAUACUGUGAUCUCUAAGUUGUACUGAAUGGUAACUAUCAACCUAAUAUAAUUUUUGUAUGUUUCUUCCUUUUGGUAAUAAGGUAGACCUGUCCAAAUUACAUGUCAGAUUCUAAUGGAUCUUAAUCAUUCACAUCGCUCUAACUGAAACUCACUUAUGUAGCAAUACCUAAUUACUAAUUAACCUGGAUAUCUACGGAUCAUGCUGUGUACCAAAAACAAAUUGUGACUCAAUUAGUAACAAGUGAAGAUUACCUAACUUUGUAAAUCUCUACUCCAACUGCUACUGUAAACUGAAGUACAUGAGUACCUUGCUGAAAUUCACUAACUGCAGAUGCUCCACACCCACGUACAUGACCACUAGACAUACAAGAGAGGGGUUAAGGGAACGAAAGAUUACCCUGAGUACCGGCUAUUUUGUGUGGCCGUCACCUCCUUGGCAUGGUCACGCUCCUCAUCAUGGCCUGCGGCUGCCUCCCGGCACACCCGUGCCGUCGUGCUCCUGGUCCCGCUCCGCAUCACAGCUCACAGCCUUGCGCCGGCCUGCCACCGUCGCCGGCCCGAGGUUAUAGCCGUACGUGCGUGGAGAAGCAGAGAUGGGGGGACGAGGGGAUAUGGAGUUGGGCGGUGGGCUACCACUGUCCAGUGAUGGUGUUGGCUGUCGAACUACUGCCCCAUAAGUAGAGGUGAGGUCUGCCGUCGCCGGCGGCUGUACCUAGGUCCGCUCGAGGAGCAAGGCGAGGAGUCAGGAGACGGAGCCUCUCAUUAAUGAAGAGUCGUUUAACGAGGAGAUAAAAG
rnacentral:lncRNA from 1 species